GCAGCGCGCGGAGCGGUGCCGGCGGGACAGCGAGGGCGGGCGGGCGCCACUCACCUGCGGGGACGCGCGCGGGCGGCGGAGCGGGGCGCUGCGGUGCUCCCGCCCCCGGCCUGGAGUUUGAAAGGAGGGCGCCUGGAAUGCGCGGAAUGACGGCUGAUGCUGUGAAAACAAAAACGACCUCAGCACCUGCCCUCAAAGAGCCUGCCGUCGCUGGGAAGACUCGAUGUAUAGAAGAGCAUUGCCACACAGUGCGAGUCUGGGUUUUCAACAGACAUGCCAGGUCUUAACUACCCAGAAGAUAAAUGAUCCAGGCUGGAAUGGUGUGCCAUCAGGACUUCAGCCUCCUGGUCCACACCCUUACAGGCUUCUGGAGAGCUCUGUGCCUUCAGGAAUCCCACGUUCCCAAGUUGUUGAGGUCCUUCUGGGUAAAGGAAAAUUCUUAGACAUAGAGAUUCUGAAGGGUUAAAGACUGACAGUGAUCUCACACACAUGCCCUGCCCUUUCCAGGGGUGUUUACAUUUCUUAAGGGCGAGGACUCUCAUUGAUUGGCCCUCAGGAAUGUAUCUGUUGGUGGAAGUAUUUCGUCUGUCUAGAUCGAGCUGUAAGAGAUGCAUAUGGCUCCACUCAAAUUACACCAUAGGAUCCACAACUCAUCUGACUUCCCAGUGGUCCAGACCACUCUGCCUCGUCCUGCUAAUGGACCCUCACCCAAGCUUGAUGAUGACUGGUACAGAGAGGAGGGCAGGGGUGGUCAGAGCCGGUUUUAAUCUGGGGAGGGUAUUUGUGUUGUCUGUACUCCAAAAUCACACUAAAAAAUCAUAUUAAUUAUUUUUAUUAUAUGUUGUUUGGUAUUAUUUUGACUCCUUUAAUAAAUUUUGUUUUUCCAACCCACAUGGUCAUAGUUAAACAAAUUAUCUGUAUAAUACUGUAUUAAACAAAUUCAACCACAUCUUGUGCUAGAAUCCUUUACAGCUAUUAAUAACAAGAUGUUUCUUAAUAAACCAGACAAAUGUUAAUGAUAUAAUAAGUGGAAAAGCAGAUUCUAGAAACAGUAUAUAUAGUAUGAUCCUGUUUUUGAAAAAUAUUUUGGAAUGAUUAUCUCUGACAGGUGGAAGAUUAAGGGGAUUUCUUUAUUUUUCAUUUUUAUUCUUAUUUUUCUGUAAGAAACUUGUGUUUCUUUUAUAAUCAGAGGAGAAGCAUGUGACUAGAACCUUUCACUAAUUUCUCCACAUUUUUUUUAAAAAAACAUGCACAACUGGAUUUAAUGGCCCAAUAAGAAGUUGACAAGGGCAGAGUCAAGGAAAGAUUGUUUCCUAGCCUUUAGGGAAAAGGCAAAUACAGUCACGCGUCGCUUACGGGAUAUGUUCUGAGAAAUGCAUUUUUAGGCAAUUGCAUUGUUAGGCAAUUUUGUACUUGUGUAAACAUCAUAGACUGUACUUAUACAAACCUAGAUGGUACAGCUGAUCUUAUGGGACCACCGUCAUAUGUCCGGUCUGUCAUUGACCAAAGCAUUGCUAUACGACGCAUACCUGUAUACUGCUUUCAAGACGUCCCUGAAGCACGUACCUGCCCCAUCUUCGACAGUAUUACAUAGCUGAUUCCUACUGUGGUUGUGGUCAACUGUGACUCAGGUUUCUUCUCUUUUUUAACCUCCCCAUACUAUAUUUCCAUUUGCUUUUCCUGAAGAACACUCUUUGCUCCAUACCAACUGAACUGCAUCUUGUGUUUUAAAGGACAAAAUAGACCUUUAUCAAACUUG